CUGAUCUGUAUGCAGCUCCAACUCCCUCUCCAGUUCAGAGUUUUGGAGCCGUCUUGUUCGAAAGUAAAGAACAGAACACAGAUGGCUGGUAACAGGAUCCCACAGGGGCCUCCUUUCCCACUGAGCCCAUCCUGCUAAUCCUUUCACAGAAGAGAAAAUAAAUGGUGAAUGAAGCAAGAAAAAAAAGAAGAAGAAGAAAAGAAAGAAAAGAAUAGAAAGAAAGUAUCAGCUUCUGCAUAUUCUGUGGGUAUAGGUGGAAGGUCUCUGAGAAGGACUCUCACUAUCAUUAAGUUUCCCAGGCAUAUUCCCUUCCUGGUCCUUCUUGUUCCUCAUCCAUUUCUUUUCCCUUCAUUCCUCCCAUUUUCCAUCCCAGUUCCCAAUUCUCUGUAGUAUCUUUGAAUCUGGUAGAGUGUUUUGUCUGAAUGCCUUCUAUUUGAGCCAGGCAUUUCCCCUCCUGGUUCUGGGAAUCCAACCUAAGGCCUUGUACUUCUGGACUUAAGUGAUCCUUUGCCUCAGCCUCCUGAGUAGCUGGUACUAUAGGCAUGAACCACCACAUCAAGCUGCUUUGCCAUUUACUGGACACAACAUCUUUGUUGGUAUGUGGUGCUGAGGAUCGAACCCGGGCCGCACGCACUCCAGACGAGCACGCUACCAGUUGAGCGACAUCCCCAGCCCUCUCAUACUAUUUUUAUAGUGUUUUCCUUGGAAGAAAAGAUGCUUAGUUGCAGACUGGGACUGUGUGACUUUAGGUAACUCAUUGUCCCUCUUUGGAUUUCACUAGAACAGAGAAAGGAUCAUUGCUCUUCUUCACUCUAGGAAACAAGGAAGUCUAUAAACUCCAGGAGAAAAGUUAAGUACAGAUGGUAUUAUCCUUGGCACUGAGAAUAUCAGAAGUACAGUCCAGUCAAGGGCCACUGUUCAAUUUAUGUGAUUACCAAAGACUCAGCUGACACAGGGUUGUGGUUUGACAUGGCUUCUUUGUUCCAGAUAAUAAACAUGUGUAAUGUCAA